AUGAAUGUUAUAAAACAUCUCGUCAAGAUAUUCACCACAGUGAUGAUUAGGUAUAGAUUAGUCUUCUGUUCAACUGUACAUAUUUAUGUGUCGUCCGUCAAUGGCUUCUACAGAUGAUUUAUGAUAUUGGAUUUAAAAGACCUUUCUAUGAAAUAUUAAUUCUAAACCAGAUACAACUAACAUAUUCUAGCCCAUAUUAUUCUUUCUUUUAAUCAAUUUUUUAUGACAUUAACAGCUGUUUUUAUGUCAAAAAGUCAAACAGCUGAUCGUCGCCUUUUACUUGGGAAAAUUGAAAUUCGGAAAUUCUUGGAACCUUGUACAAUUUUUCAAUAUUAUUACCCGGUCUCUUUUAUGUCGGUUGCAAUAUUUUUCAAUAUUUUGUUUCUAAAUGCCAGCUGCUUAUUUUAACCCAACAAGAAAGAGGGAACUUUUCAAUGGGAAAAUAUUUUAAAUUAAAAAAAAAUUUUAUCCAUUGAACAUUUACAAUGUAGGUAUUUUUGAAAAUCAGUUAUAAGUAAGUGAAAUAUACUGCAAAAACAUAGAAUAGACAUAUCAUUUUGUAAAUUUAGAGUUUACUGGGUGAGCGUAAAUACAAAAUUCAAAACAUUACACAUAUAAGUCAAUAUAUAUUACAUUAAAUCCCUCUUAUUCACCCUGGAUUGGAGUUGAACACUAGACCCUUGCACGGAAGUCACUCUCCUGGCUGUGGUCUUGGUGCGUACCUUUCGGACAUCUAGGGGAGCCAAAAUCUUGCCGUUGAUGACAAGCGGAAACUGUAGACAGGUGGUUACGGUCGUUGAGAGAGAAGUGAAAUGUGAAUAUACUUCGUUGAUUGGGAAGGAUCAUUGCUAUACAUAUUGUAUUCAAAAUAAACAUAUUCUAAUGCACUGCUUUUGCAGUAAUUAUCUAUUAAGUAAUAAAUACUUGCCCAAAUAGUUACAGUAAAUACGUGACAAGGAAACUG
rnacentral:misc_RNA from 1 species